UCUCCCUCCCUAAAGUGUUCUGGAACCUAUCAUUUGAAUUAGCCGAGUCAGGCAAGGAGGGGGCGGGGAGUCUUUCCGCCCUUCUUAGGAGGGGCUGCAUUGCAGGGGGAGACUGAACAGAUAGACUCUGCCACAGGAGAGGGAGAGGGAGUGAGAAGACAAAGCCGUCAAAGCCCAAACAGCUUUCUUUUUCUCCAGCCCAGAGCAGACGCCGGAGCACCCCCCACCCCCCGAGGUACUCCUUCCAUCUUUGGAACACACUAGUAAUUCACUGAUAACAGGAAGUUAUGAGGGAUCCUGUGAGUAGCCAGUACAGCUCUUUUCUUUUCUGGAGGAUGCCCAUUCCAGAACUGGAUCUGUCGGAGCUGGAAGGCCUGGGUCUGUCAGAUACAUCCAUCUACAAGAUCAAAGACAGCAGCGCUGGCAAAAUGACCGGGCAAGCAACUGGAGAACAGGAGAAAAACUCUGAAGGCGAUUCCCUCCUUGAAUACAGCACCUUCAACUUCUGGAGAGCUCCCAUUGCUAGCAUCCACUCCUUUGAAUUGGACUUGCUUUAAGCCCAAGACUUCUCUUUCCCAGCACCUGCUGUCACUGUCUUCCCUUUCAAGCCCCUUCCUUUCCACCCUUUCCUCCUAUUAAUCUUGCUCUCUCCCCUCUGUUGUGUUGAGGUGGUGCUGAUUAAUCUGCCAGAGUUGUGUUGUAUUUAUUUAUUUAUUUAUCUAUUUAUUUAUCUAUUUUAUCAGUUUCUCUCAAAAGCCCUUAAGCCACAAAGAAAAAGGUUUGAGCAAUGGAGUAUUGGAUCACAGGGAUUUCCCCCACCACCACCACCACGGCCCCAACUAAUUCCAGAAAACAGGCCUGGUGGGGGCACCAGAGAGUAGUACAGUGGUACAAAAUGGAGGGUGGAUUUUUUUUACUUCAUUUUAAUCAGCUUUAGAGAUUGAUUACACCUAAUUUCCUGCUCCAAAUCAGUAAACAUAAAUCUUUCUUCCACCGUUGAUGAAAACCUUAGAAGUUUUAAUUUGAGAUUAUCUGCGAUAAGACGGUAGGAUUUCUAGAUGGCUAAGGUGAUAAGUCUCUUGCUAUUUGAUCCUGCUCCUUAUACUAUAUGUUUUCUCAGAGAAAUUGGGGAUAGUUAAAAGUAUAAAACAAAAGGAAGUAAUACAUCAUGGAAAAUUAAAAUAGGGGAAAGCACUGAAUCAUUUCAGAAAUAACUACAUUCUCAAAAGGGUGUUCCUCCUUUAAGCCUACUCACUUUGUAACUUUGCUCCUAACUGAAAACUCUGAGGAAAAUGACUCCAAUUUCAAUUCUUAAGAUGCAAUCUUACUGACUACUGUGAUAAUCUGUAAGGAUUUGAUUCUGUUUCUGAAAGGCAUAGGGUUUGGCCUUUAGUGUUUUAGUCUUGCCUUGCAUCUGCAAUGUGUAAUACCGAUCAGUGGGCCCCAGGCACAGUUCUUCAGCUACCUUGAGACCAUGAAAUAAUCACAUUUAUGAUCCUAUACCUUGUCCCCUCAUUCCUUCCAAAAUUAUUGCUGCUGAUUUGUGCUGCCAUUUACUCAUUUCUUUAAUAAAGACAUUCGAUCCCA